UUUCUUUUCACCAGGUUCCAUCUUCUGAAAGUUCUACCAUCUCCCAGCAGUGCCAUCAUAUGGGGACACAUGAGCCUUUGGGAGACAUUUACUUCAAGCCACAACAGUUUUCCCAGUAAACAUUGUGAGAAAGUCAAAACAUAUUUUGGAUGAGUGAAGAGAGAAAGAGACUUAGCUGGAAGAGCAAAGAGGAAGCGAGUUCAUUCCUAAGGACCUCAGUGCAAGAGGCUCAGCAUAAAUCAUCACAGAGGGUACAGAAUGAUGGCCCCCACCUUUUGAAAUCCACCAUCUUCAGAGAAGGGAGAGGUCUACAUUCAUGAAGUAUCAAGAGGAGAACUUGGCACUAAGACUUCUCUAGCUCCCAACAGUGGGAAUGGAUAAACUUU